rnacentral:rRNA from 1 species
AGUGAACGCUGGCGGUAGGCCUAACACAUGCAAGUCGAACGGCAGCACAGUAAGAGCUUGCUCUUACGGGUGGCGAGUGGCGGACGGGUGAGGAAUACAUCGGAAUCUACUUUUUCGCGGGGGAUAACGUAGGGAAACUUACGCUAAUACCGCAUACGACCUACGGGUGAAAGCAGGGGAUCUUCGGACCUUGCGCGAUUGAAUGAGCCGAUGUCGGAUUAGCUAGUUGGCGGGGUAAAGGCCCACCAAGGCGACGAUCCGUAGCUGGUCUGAGAGGAUGAUCAGCCACACUGGAGCUGAGACACGGUCCAGACUCCUACGGGAGGCAGCAGUGGGGAAUAUUGGACAAUGGGCGCAAGCCUGAUCCAGCCAUACCGCGUGGGUGAAGAAGGCCUUCGGGUUGUAAAGCCCUUUUGUUGGGAAAGAAAAGCAGCAGGUUAAUACCCCGCUGUCCUGACGGUACCCAAAGAAUAAGCACCGGCUAACUUCGUG